rnacentral:rRNA from 1 species
UGGGGAAUAUUGGACAAUGGGCGGAAGCCUGAUCCAGCAACGCCGCGUGAGGGAUGACGGCCUUCGGGUUGUAAACCUCUUUCAGCACAGACGAAGUCGCAGCUUUUGUUGUGGUGACGGUAUGUGCAGAAGAAGCACCGGCCAACUACGUGCCAGCAGCCGCGGUAAUACGUAGGGUGCGAGCGUUGUCCGGAAUUAUUGGGCGUAAAGGGCUCGUAGGCGGUUUGUCGCGUCGGGAGUGAAAACCUCGGGCUUAACUCGGGGCUUGCUUUCGAUACGGGCAGACUAGAGGUAUGCAGGGGAGAACGGAAUUCCUGGUGUAGCGGUGAAAUGCGCAGAUAUCAGGAGGAACACCGGUGGCGAAGGCGGUUCUCUGGGCAUGACCUGACGCUGAGGAGCGAAAGUGUGGGGAGCGAACA